rnacentral:ncRNA from 1 species
UGAAACGGCAAACCGUCUGAAAGGGCGGGACGCAAAGCCUGGGGGCUAAAGCGGCAUACGCCGCCAUGCCGGCCCGGCCGCCAA